rnacentral:rRNA from 1 species
ACUGGAGGAAGGUGGGGAUGACGUCAAGUCAUCAUGGCCCUUACGACCAGAGCUACACACGUGCUACAAUGGCAUAUACAAAGAGAAGCGACCUCGCGAGCGCAAGCGGACCUCAUAAAGUAUGUCGUAGUCCGGAUUGGAGUCUGCAACUCGACUCCAUGCAGUCGGAAUCGCUAGUAAUCGUAGAUCAGAAUGCUACGGUGAAUACGUUCCCGUGCCUUGUACACACCGCCCGUCACACCACGGGAGUGGGUUGCAAAAG